UUCCUCUGAAAUUCUGACUGUUCCUUUAGGGCUUUGAAGGAGCUGAAGAGGAGACAUGAAUCUGAAUUUAGAAUUACAUUUUAAGCCUUCAUGUAGCCUUUUAAAAUAUCAGAAGGAGCAAGGGUCUGCUAUCCUACCAUCGGCGCGGGGCACAACCUCCUCUUGAAGCGCGUUCAAACCCCACCCCGCGACUCGCGGCUUCCUGCUGCCUGCCCUUAUCUUCCCUUAUCUGCUGCUGUGCGGAGGCUGCUCCGUCUCCGCGGGCCGUGGCUCCUUCCAGAGCCCCGGGAGCAGCUCUCGCUAUUCCCGUCACGCCCGGGUCCCCCGGCCCCGCUGUUAUCGGCGGCGCACACGGAGCGCCGGGGGAUGCCCGGCUGCCAGCCCGGCCCGGAGGGGCUGCUUCACCCCCUGACUGAGAAUCAGGCAUCCCAGCAGGCUGCGGCUGCAAGGAGCUCGGCGGAUCCUGCGGGAAAACCUCUUUGAAGAUGCUGUAGAGAAGAAACACACCUGAGGAGUGGAGCUGGGCUCUGAGUGACACCACAGGACAAACACAGAUUGGGGCAGCUGUCCCUUCCUGCACUGAGGUCAUGAUCCACCACAGAAGAAGAGACGUGCUCGUCUGUGACAGCCAGUGACAUCAGAUGUAAGAAGCGUUUUUUGGGGGGAUUAGUGGGGCUCCUGAGCACAGACACACUCCUCCCCCAGCACGCCUACGCACGGAUGCACACGCAUGCACACACACACGCAUAUGGACACACAGACCCCCUCCAGCUCCCUGUCCUGCCUCUCCCAGGCCGUGCUGGGGUGUGGGGAAGGAAGGAAGGAAGGAGUGGGCACUCGCGCCCUGCCAGGCGCCCACGCACGCCCACGGCCCAUAUGGCUGCUGCUCACAGGCUGGGGCUGAACUCGCCUGGGAAGCGCUUUGUUCCUCAGACCAUCCUGGGGAGUGGAUCUCUGCCCGUGCUUGGGGUUUGCAGUUUUCCCUCCCUGCCAUUGCCUUCUACAGCUCUGGUGGAAAUUGUCAUUGAAGGGAGACUGGGAAGCGUUGCUGUGGCACUGAUCCUUCCUGCUCGCCAAGGAAAUCCCCAAUAAUCCAUGCCACCUUUGUCACUUCACACUGCUUUGUAGGUCAAAUACUCCAAGACCCUCAGAAAUCCCUUUCUACAGUCAGCAGAGACUGACACAAGGAGUUCUGCCCUCCCUUCCCAGUUCCUUGGCCUGGCACUGGGCAUUCCCACAGCAGGCAGCAGGGACUGGUCAGCACCUUCUCAGCUCCAGAGAAGGUCCCAGCCCAACCCCAUCUCCUGCAGCCCUGCAUUCUGGAUGGUUUUAGGAUGUAGUUCCCCAGCCAGCCCAUGCCCCACCAUCAGGCUUUUCCCUUUCUCUUCCCUUCUCUCACAUUUUUACUUUCAAGUAAAAUGUUUCCUUUCCCUGGGUAAUUGUGAUGUGAGUCUCCACCAAGCCAGUGGCAAACACAUAAUUUCUGAAUUUUCCCCAAGUCUCUUCCAGUCUGAUUUUUUGCAUCAAACCUUUUCUCUUUUUUUUUUUUUUUAGUUUUUCCUUCAUCUGUAUAUUUAUUCUGAGGUCAAAAGGGAUUUUCAGACCAAAUAAUCUGCCCAAAAUCUCAGUCUGUGCAUCUCUACAACCCAAAGGCUUUGGGGGGAGGCCAGGAGCUGUGACAGGGGAUGAAUCCCUCAGGAGUGGCAGGUCUGGGGUCCCACUGUCCCCCCCUGCCCUGCACAACCACAGAGCUCCCACAGACAUUACCCUGGGGCAAUGUGGGAAGAAAUCUAAUCUCGUCCUAAUUUUCUUAACUAGUAUAAAUUUCUAAAGAAAAGACAUUUGGAAGCGAAAUAUCAAAAUGUGACAUUUGGAAAAUGUUAAAAAGAACAUUGCUGCAUUAUUGAGAUACUUUGUUUCAAUUUUCUUUGGAAUUAAACUUUGUCAAAAU